GUGGUCCAUAGCAUGCGGAUGCGGUGUUGCGGUCUGUAUCUUGUGUGAUUAUUUUUCUUCUUAUCCUGUCUUAGUGUCUUGUACUCUUGUUAGAAAAUGGCGUGUAUAUAGCAAGUGACUUGAAAAUGAUAUGUAACGCAGGUUAUUUCAGGCCUAUAAACUCGCAGGACUGCAAAUUGUAAGACUUCGGCUUUGGCAGUUAACUCUUUCUUCCUUCAGUGCCAUUAACAUUUCCCGCCUUUCCCUGCCUCGGAUUUCCAUGGUCGAAUUUUCUGUGCACAUGGAAGUUUGGAUAAACUGAACAAUUAUUAAAAUUGCCAACAUUGAACAUUCUAUCCAUUCUCAGGGUAUGAUGCUUGAAUUUUCAUUUCAGAUUACACCUGACAGCGAUUGGAUCAUGAGUGGAUCAUGCUCCAGUCUUCUGAUCUCCACUGAUCCAUCCUGUGCAGCUCUCUUCUUCUAAUCUCAUCUCGUGUUGCUCUGGGCAUUCUUAUCUCUCCUCUACUCAUCUCUUCUGGGUCCAAGGAAACCUUCAGUCAGGGGCUGUUCUGAACACGACAUGGAAGAAAGGAGAAAGUCUCGUUCGCUGGCCACGUUGCUGGCCAUGUAGCGGUUCAAAGCAAAUUCCCAUUCAACUUCGUCGCCUUCCCGGAUGGCUAUGCACGUCACAGUGCCUUUCAGGAUCGGCCAUCCAUUGAGCGUAGGAUUUGACAGCGCGACUGAUGCAGUCCUUGUUGCCCAUGGAACAAGCCCACGAAACG